CACCCAGGGAUCCCCAAAUUCAGGAAUUUCAAUGACAAAAUGAAGUCUCUCUCUCCACCUCUCAUCUCUGUUGGUCUCCACCUAAGUUUUUUCUCUCCCACUGCAAACCAGCUUUCUCCACAGGGUAAAUGCCACAAGAGCAAGAACCAACUACUUUUACUUACUUUUGUAUGCCCAGGACCAAGCACAGCGCCUGGCACAUUGGCAGGCAAUCGUUAUGAACCAAGAAAUUAGUGUUCGAAUAAUUUCUGGAAAACACAGAGAUUAAAAGUACAGAUUCUGGAAUCAAAGAGGUCCAAAUCUUGGAUGGGUCAAAAUAUGAAGUAUGUCACCUUGGACAAGUCACUUGUAAUGUCCCUUCUAUAAUCUGUUUUUCUGUCUGCAAAAUAAGGACAACAAUAAAGGUUCAUAAGAUGACCUACCUACAACACUUAGCACAAUGUCAGGGAUGCAGAAGGCAGAUAUAUCCAUUGUAAUUAAGUUUAGGCGAGAACAACUGAAAACCCAAAAUACUAUGGCAAUACCGAAAUUUAUCUCUGUCACAUCCAAAGGGCUCCCACUUGGGCCCAUUUUAUGUGAUGCUCCAUCAUUCUCAAGCUGGGGCUUUCUCACCGUACUACCAAUUACUGUUCAAGCUUCAACUACAGUCUUCCCAUUCUCGUCCCCAGCAAAGACAAGAAUGUCCUCAUAAGGAUGUUUCCCAGAAGUCCCCGCCAGGACCUACUUUCAAAUCUCACAGGCCCAAGUGUAACCUCAUCAGCUACAUCAAGCAGAAAGAAGGCUGGGAAAGACAGUCUUGAUUCCAGAUUGUCGUGCGCCCAACAAAAAUGGAAGAGACCAAUAAACAGCCUCUUUCACAGCAAGACAGUGAAGGGAAAAUUCUUACAUGGAAAUUGGGCAUUUUAUGUCAAGGAGUGCCUCCAUAAAAGACUAGAGGCAAAUGUGACCGCAGAGGCACCAUCAAUGGCAACUCGCCUUGUCACAGUAACAGGUGCAUAAAUGUAUUGGCUGAAUUUAAAGACAACCACAUGGCCAUAGCACAGGAGACCUUUCUAAAUCACAGGUCCCCAGUAAAACGGUUCAGGUCUGGUCUUACUCAGGCUCUGUUGAUCACCUCCCUUAUCAUGGUGUGAAAGAAGCCUUACAAGAGCCCUCCCAUCACUCAUGCAUGCCUGCCUCAGGCUCUGCCCUCUGAAUGAUGCAAGAAGCAACAGGUGCCAAGGUGGACUUCUCAGGGAGCCCUGGGGCCAGACUUCAGCCUGAAGAAUCCCCCACAGGGCACAUGGGGUGGGGGGGGGGCAGGUCAGGAAGCAGGAGAACUCUGGCUCUGCUGCACCUGAGUGAGGGCUUCCCCAUCUGUCACAAACCACCAUCUCAGAAAUCAAAUCUUGCUUUAGAGCUAAAGCAAUCCUGUCACUCCACUUUAACUCGCUUGGGAAAAGUUUAAAAAAGGGAUCUUUAGCCUCAUUGUGAAUUUUGAAGUCCUACGGAAAAAUGAUCCUGCAGCAGUUCAAAGAGAAAAAGGGAGUAUUUACUUUCCUUCCCCCUUUCAUGCAGAGGAGAAAGGAACGUUGAGGAUUAUUUUGAUAAUAGAAACUAAACUCUAAGUAAGAGCAUCCAAGAAUGAUAACCACACUCGAACUGCUGAUUUUCUUUCAUCUUAUGGUAAUUGUACAUGGAAUCACCAUCCUUAUUAUUAAAAGCUUUUAUCAAGGGCCAGCAGGUAUCUGGAGCACAAAAGGGACUGAGUUUUACUAAAUCUACAUCAUUACUUGGGGCCUGCACCAGGGUCUUUCCCAAGAACUUAGAAAGAAGAUUGCCUUUGGACAACUUACCAAAAUAUAUCAAAUUGUAUCAAGAUUUUAAAAGCACACACUCUAUCCAUUUUCUCUACAGACAGAGGCACUCAAGAGCACAGGAAAAUCCUCUGUAGCCUUGCCUAUGAAAGCCAAGGCUGGAAAUCACAAAGACGUCCAUAAGGAGAGGAGGUUAAGUAUAUCACAAUACAACCCUACAAGGAAAUACAAGGUCAAAAUGACAAAACAAUGAAUCUGACUGCUAGGCAAUGUCAUAGAAAAGUGCUCACUGCCUGAUGACUAUGAAGUCAGCAGGUCUGGCUUAAGUAUUUCCCAGCUCUGUGUUCUUGAGCGAAGACCUCCAACGUCACUAAGCUGGAGUUUGCCCAUCUGAAAAAUAGGAUAACAACAAGACGAUGGCACGGGGUUGCGCAAGGACUAAACACAGCGUUUAGCCUUGUAGGUGAUGAGAAGCCAGCGUGGCUACAGUGCCAUGGUGGUGUGGACAGCAUCGGGAACACCUUGUUGGAGUCACCAGGCUCUAUCAGUGACCACAUCUUACUCAACCGUAUUAAUCACUCUAAGGGAAGGCAACCCAGCCGACUGUACACAGUGACUCCCUCCUGGGAAUGAAGCUGGCAGUGCAGGAAGCGGGAUGUGAGCAUGGAAAGAAGAAAAUGCCUUUCGUUUUCUUUUUAUGUAUUUAUUAGCGUUUUACUUCUAAUACCAGCUCAGGUUACUUUCACAAUAAAAAUUUUUUUUCAAGAUUGGCCUCUAAGAAGUCAAUUUUAAUUGCAUCUCUUAAUAGAUUAGAGCAAAGCUAUGCAAAGUCCUUGGAAGGAGACUCUGAGCCUUGGGGACUUGAUGUAACUCGACUGGAAAUAGUAAUGCAUCUAAAGAAAGGAAGUGACUACCUGUGAGCCGGGGGGUGAGGAUGUCACGGAGUCCCAGGAGCAGUUUAGAAAGAACAGAGACAGCAGAGAUGGCAAAGAUAUCCAAGUAGCUUGUAGAGGAGAGAGGAAUGUUGGCCCUACAUCCAUAUUUGCAAGUGCGUCCUCCAGGAUCCUCACUUGUUUUUUGCUCUGUGUUAUGGGAUGAACUGUGUCCUCCGCCCCAAAACUGAUGUGUUUGAAGUCCUAACUCCCAGGACCUCAGGAUGUGACUGUAUUUGGAGACAGGGCCUUUCAAGAGGUGAUUAAGGUACUGAGAUCAUUAGAACAGGCUCUCAUCCAACAUAACCGGUGUCCUUCGAAGAAAAGGAACGAUGGACCCAGACACAGAGAGAGAAGACCACGUGGAGACAGAGAGAGGAAAAGACAAUCAUCUACAAGUCAAAGAGAGAGACUGCAGAAGAAACCGACCCUAUGACACCUUGAUCUUUGACUUCCAGCCUCCUAAAUUGCAGAAAAAAUAAAUCUCUGUUGUUUCAGCCUC